GUGAUUAGACAUUGCAAAAAGACAAGUAGAUACAUAAAGAACUUGGAGAGAGCUUCUUUGAGGCAGCAUUUUACCUUUGAGAGGAAAAAACAAGCCACUCAGGUGAAAAUUGCUAGCUCUUGCUUCAUUGUCAGCUCUACUGAGGUGCUGUCUCUCAAUGAACUUGAAGCACCCAGGCUUUACCAAACUCAAGCUAGGUGAACCAAGUAAUUUAGCCUUUUGCAAGAAGAAGAGUGAUGAUAUGGUAUUUGGUGAUAUGGGUUGGUGGUAUGGUAUGGUGGUGAUAUGGGUUCUUUAUACAGGUGCUCCAUUAGAAAUCUACUAUCUUAACUAAACGUUUUUUGAAUGAGAAUGGUGUUUCUCAGAAAGCAGACUGUUCAGUCCUAUGCUGUGGAGCUAUAUACUCAUGUUAAACUUGUUAAACCAGCAAAUACACUUUGGGCAAAAAUGAUGGCUGGCCUAAGGCCAAAAGUAUUCUUUCUUUAUGAUAACUGAGAAAAGUUGUCUUUGAUAUAACUUGGUGCAUGACAAUAUGUCACUCAGUACACAAGAUUCCCACCCACUCUGUUGCCUGACCUAGAGCAGUGAAACAGUUUUAAAAUACUUAAAUGUAGGUCUGUAAUGCUAUUCUCUCUCUCUUCUGUCAUAUCUGCCACCAUAAUGGGAAGUAUCAAAACUGCUAUUCUGUCUAAGGUGGCACUCAACUUCUCUGGAAUCUCUCAUUUUAGAAUUCUAGUAAGGUGCUGUCUUAAACAGAUGGGUGAGUUAUUGAUGUGUUAUUCAGCUGUGGUGGCUGAAAUACUGGCCAUCUCUGGCUACUUCCAUGGUCAAUCGUGCAGAUCAGAAAGUUAAUCACUUGUGAGCAAGGUGGCAUGGCUGAAGUGUCAUUGGCACCCUGAGUUAAGGAGCUAGGCUAUAUGUAGAGCUGCUGAUAUAUGAGUGUGUUGCACUCCACUGGUAUGCAACUUCAUGUAGUUUCCUGCAAAACUUCUAUGUGUACCCUGUCCUGUUUAAAAAAAAGAGAAAAAGUGGUUGUUUUUUUUUUUUUUUUGGUUUGUUUGGUUUUUUUUGUGCAUUGAGAUCACCUGUUUAUUGUUAUCCUGAAUUUACUGUAAUUUAGGCAUGUUUAAAUAAUGUUGUUAGAGAACAAAACUUGCCCUUUUGGAUUUAAUUUUCUCAGCUUUUUCAUAUGACAUCACUACUUGUAGACAGCAAAAUCCUUCACACUAACACCGAAGGUUGAAGGAAGUCAGAAAUUUGUAGCUGUAACAGCAAUAAGACAUGACAACUCUACAUUACUCUUUGAGUGGGGUUCAGUACAUCUUUAUGCAAAAGAUUUUCAAAAUUAAUAUCUGCCAGUCCACUACAAGAAUGUUUCUUUCCUCUUCCGUUUGCCUUAUAGAGGGUGCUAUGUAAUUUGACAGUUUCAGUUCCACUAAACAUCUUUUCUAUCAGAGAGAAUAUGGCAGUUCAGUUAAAAUUGGCCAUAAAAUAUGCUAAAAUCAAGUGUCAAAUAUAGCUUAUGUUACUUCAGUCAAGAACUUCCUUUUUCCACUAUAAAGCUUGAUUUUGCAUCUGCUCAUAAUAGACAAAAAUAAAAAUGUUACUCGUAGAUGUUCAUGAGUUAAAACAUUCCUGGCUUAUUAACUUUUACUUGAAGAAAUAAAGCUUCUAAAUCAAAUGUAACAUUUAUUGUGUGAAAGCUGCGUAUUGCAGCUAAUGCUCUGAACUCUAAAAUCUUUGUGGACCUUAUUUACUUAAAGCUCCUAUUGAUAUCAGUGAAGCUGAAUUACUUGCUUAUCAGCAUUAGUAGUAGCAGUCCUAACCACUGUUUAAGAAACCAGUACAAACUCUGUCACAAAUUCAUCACAUAACUACAUAAAGCUGAUGUUUUGAUGGAUUGGGAAGUACCAGCCUUUUCUGCAAAUGAUCCUUGGUGUCACAGACAUUAUUAUAUUUGAGAAAAGACCUUUUAAGAAGUUGGGUAAACUUGAUGCAUCCAUCAUUAAACACUCAGGUUCAUUAAUGACAUGGAAUUUUACCUGUGUACAACUGUAGCAGCUUCUAACUGACGGUUCAUCUGAGAGAAUUGGGCCUAAUAAGGAGGGCAGAGGUUCUCAGCUAAUGAGCAAGUCAAGGUUCUGAUCUAUUAGGUUAGAUAGAAACUACCUGUCUUUGAGACUUAAAAUAAGACUCUGGCUUUGGACUUGUUUUCAAACACUUAUUAAUCAUCAGUGGCUUAAUUCUGCAGAACAAUUCACCUGAAAUCUGUGGAACUUUUCACAGGAGAAAAAAAUGCUCUAUUGGGCCACAGAAAUACAGAACGUUCCUUGUGACAUUGUUAAAUCUUCCUCAAGCCUUCAGCCCCUGUUCUUCUACAUGCUGGCUCAUCAUCCAGGGAGGAUGAGCUCAGUCUUGGUUCUUUUUCACUGCUCAGCCACCUCUUUAAGUCUGUGAGAAAUGUAGUAAUUGACAGAGCGAUUCCUUAUAAUCAGAAUUCCUGACUAGUUGGAGAGAAAGUGUACUUUUUUUUAUACAAGAAAAAACUUCUAUUCUUAGUGAAGCCCUAGCUCCACAUGCUUAGUAGAAUGUUUUUCCUUUUUAUUUGAAAAAAAGUCAAUAUUAUUGAGAUUAUCAUAUCUAUUUUUGUUAAAUAUUAAUAAAAAUGUCUAUCAUUUUUUAAAAAAUAUACAUUGGAACAUUCAGUCACAACAUAAAUAAAAACAAUAGUGAAUUACCUGUGAAAUAACAACUAAUAGGUUUCGACAUUGUGCUGAAAUAAUGUAACCCUGGAGCUGCUUUUGUCAGUUCUAUCUGGUUCUCUGUGUCGUGACUUACUUUAUAAUGUAAAUUGACCCCCAGAAAGCUGUGCUAAAACCUGAUAGGGAGUUAUCUCUACUUGACUUCUCUGAAACACUGUCCCCAAAACUGUUAAUGUGCUUACACUGAGCACCAAGACCUUUGUGUUAAUAGUAUUUUGAAUAUGACUCGGUGAUUUAUUCUUGUCACCAGGUACUCUGCUGGAGAGGUGAUUGGGGCAUGAUGUAGUUGGGAUGUCAUAGUACUUUGAAGUCAUUAAAAUUCUAGAAUGAAGAGUGGAAAGAGGAGAAUGAGCUGAACCUGUACACGCAGGUGAUAGUCACUGAUGGAUCUGUAGUAGGUAAAAGAUUGCAAAAGAUUGUUGAACUAAAGACAGAUGCGAUCAGACAUGCCUCAAAAGAUGUCUUUUAUGAAUCAGGUAUAUGAAGACUAGUGUGAAAUACAGUGUUUGAUCAGAGUUCCAAUAUGACCAUGCUCUUGAAAGGGAGGCACUGAAUACAGAGCACAUUUAUCAAGGCAAAAGUGCUUAACUAUGACCUUAAGCACAUGCUGCUGCUUGUUAGUUUAACUGAAGCUGCACAAACAUGAUAAAAGGCUCCCAUUAUUAGCCUCUGUCAAAGUUGGAAGAUUGGACUCCAUAGCUGCCUUUGAAUUCUUGGUAGACUACAGUCUGUUCUUAGGACUGACCUUGUCACAGGCCUUAUUACACAUGGCAGCUAGAGACACCAAGUGAAGUAUGAAGAAACUUUGUCUUUUCUGAGCCAUCUUCUCAUAUGUAGCUGAAAGCUACACAGAGGAAGAAGAAAUGAUUCUACAGACCUACUGUCACACUGUGUUUCCAUGGGUGCGUGGGCAAACUGAUCUAGUACUUGAUCCAGCAGCUGUCUGUGACAGAGAAGGUGGAACUUGACUGACGUCCCUUCCAACCCAAGCCAUUGUAUGGUUCUAUGAAUAUAUUCCAAAUAUCCGAAGGUAAUGCUUUGUUGUAUUUAAAACUUGCGUUCUUAUUACUAAACAUUUCCAAUAGAUCUGGAAUCUCACUCCAUUUUUUCUUCUAGUUUAGAAAAGCUGGAGAUUACACUUCAGAAAGUCAAACUUUCUCUUAGAAACAUAUGGUGAUGCAAGUUGGAUGCAUACUGAAAAGUAAGAACUAUUGUAAAACUACAACACUGACACUGUUUGAAAUUGGAGAUAGGCUUCUGCUCUACAAAAUGUUAAGCACACUUUUUGGUGGAGCUUUAAGAUAACGAAUAACAUCCAAGACAACAAGAAUUGCCUACAAACUUAUCUAGCUCCUGUUGGAAUCAAUUAGGCAUUUCAGUUAACUUAAAUAGGAAUGAGACCCAGUAAGUUUUAGAACACUAUCAAAAAGACAGGACACUUUUUACACCAUUAUUGAAAUACAGGAAACUAAAAUGUUUUGGGACCCAUUCUUUGCACUUACUGACUUCUGCAGUAAAUCAGUUCUGAAGUAUAAUACAGUAUUUCUAAGACCUCCAAAGAAAACAUAUAUUUUUAGUGUAAUGCAAAUAAAAAGAAUUGAGUCAAUAUGUCUUUAAGGGUUGAACAAAUAUAGUUAAUUAUAAACGUUUCUUUUCAAUAACUGGUUCACUGAAACACAAGUAUAUUGGUGAAAUUAUUAUGGAGAUCAAUUUAGUCUUAAGGAAAAACCCUGGCAGCAAAAACUGCAGUGGUGAUUAAAAGAUUUCUUUUAUAAUAGGACAUUAUAAACCUAGAUUUUGUGUGUGCCUACAGCCAGUUCUAAGUAUAAAUAAAUUGUAGCUCUGAGAAUAUUAUCUAUGCCUUGUACUUCAGAGCUGUCAGUCAGUAUUUUUGAUCAUUAGCCAUCUGUGAUUAUUUUAAUUUUUGCCAGCAGGAGAAGGAACUCUUUUCCACCAGGGAGCUCUGUUAUUACAAUAUAAUUUAUAUGUAAAGAGCUCAUUUCAUUAGAGGAAAAAAAAAACUUUUAACAUUUUUUUUCCCUAAAGUUUAAAUGAAACUUGUAGCUUUAAAAUAUUUAUUUUGCAUUUCUUUUUGAUGUAAUUGGCAUGGUCCACAUAAAAGCAUUUAACAUUUUACUGGGAGAGUUAACAAUAAUUCUUUGUCUUUAGCUUAGUUUUUAUUUAACAUUCUCUACUGAAGAACUAGAAACUGAGACAGUUGUGGAUUUGAACUAUUUUACUAGAUAAAGUAUCAUUUUUCAUCUUCACUCCAUUUUAGACCCUACCCGUGUCUUUACUACAUGCUAGUUGAAAUCCUUACAGGGUCAUUUUAGAUAUACUUCCUGUCAGUCUCUUUAAAGAAUGACUUUAUAAUGACCUUGUUUGUACUAGGAAUGACUUGCUGAAAUGAAAAUGUGGCAUCUCUUUGAUUUACUGAAAUGAAACUCUGCCCAACAUUAUAGUAUAACACUAUAUUUUUAUUGACAUUGUAAAGGCUGACAUUAUAAACUGAGCAAGUUAAAUUGGUUCAGAAGAAUACUAACAUAAAAUAAAUUAGUUUAUGAAAUUUACUUAGCUAAUUCUGACUUUUUUUCCAAACAAUCCUCACUUGUCAAUGAUGCCAAGUACCUGUUGCCAUUAUUUUCAGCCUGACCUGAGUUCUUAAAUUUUGGAAGUAUUUAGAUGAAGUCAAAAAGCUGUAUCAGAAUGGUAUCAACUUCUGUCUACGUAUCAUGCUUGUUUUUAUCAUCCUAAAAAGAUAAUGAAAUUUUCUGUAUACCAAGAUAUCUAAUUCUUAUGCUUUUACAUGCAUACUCUUUCAUUCACCAUAGCUGUGUUGCUGAUAUCAUCUGUACUUUUAGUUUUUCUCUCAUAGCUCUGCAAGAAACUGGCUGUAAAAACAAUGAAAAUUGACUAGUGUGGUUGAAUUGCCUUUUCUUGAUACAAGAAAGCUUUUAAGCUUUAAUUACAUUGUUCUUAAGGUGACUUGUGCCUUGUGUUUGAUGUCUGAAUUUCAAUCAAUUCAAUAACCAUUGAAAUAUAAGGCCAGAUGAAUAGUCACUGUCAGUUAUACAUAUACUUCAGCAUUUAGAGAGUGUUUCUGUUUUACAACAUCCGAUUACCUGGUUUUAAGAUAUACAGUUAUGCAUCACAUAGCAGAUCUUCCAAAUUCUUUGAUGAAAAUGAUGAGGCAAAUUUUAGUAAACAGAGUGGGAACUAGUUAUAAAUGUCUCUCUACUGAACAAGUAAACAAUCAAAUAGAGCCUGACAUGGUUAGGACAUUCAAUUGCACUCUAUAAUCACAUUAAUGAAAAACAACAAAACAAAACAAAACAAAAAACAAGAAGACAGUCAGAAGGAAGAAGAUGCAUUUAAGUAGAAAGAAUUCUGUAGUGUAAUAAUAAAUCUGUACUGUAAUAAUUAGUUGCUUGUAUUAGCUGUUAUAAUUGGACUUGUUCAAAUCUUGCACUCUCAGCUACUUUAGAAUUUGCCAUAGGUAUCACCUGGUUUUGUACUUUCUGAUUCCUUCACAAGGAGAUCCAUAAACAAAGGAAAUAAAGGAAAAUGAUUUCUGUUCUAUUCUUCCUCCUCUUCACUCUAGAGAGGAAUGGGUGUUUUAGCAUCAUAGAAUGGCGUGGGUUGGAAGGGGCCCUAAGGAUCAUUACGUUCCAACUCCCCUGCCACAGGCAGGGCCACCAACCUCCAGCAUUUUCAGUACUGGCCAGUAAAAGGUUAUUAUUUUCCCAAAUGAAUAGUAACUUAUGUUACCAGUGGAACUCAGCAAAAGUAAAUAAGUAAGGCAAAAUAACCAUCUUGAGAAUCUAAUGACCACACUACAAGUGAUGAAGAGGGAUUUGAGGAGCAUGAAUACCUCAGAUUACCUCAGCCCACGAAAUGAAACCUUUGGGAUCUCUUCUGUCAUAUUUGCUGAAAUUGGCCAGUAAGUCUGCUGUUAUAAAAAUAGGAGUAGGUCAUACACAAACACACCACAAAUAUAUACUAAAAAACUCUCAAAAAAUGUCAAUUAGAUUUAAUGAAGAUAAUAUUCUACAAGCUUCUCUGUUUGAUAAGUUCUGGAUUAAAAAACAACAACACUAUGACAAAAAACAACUUUUGAAAAUUAUAAGAGCUUGCAAUUUGUAUAGUAAACAAUGUUGUAGUAGAAUCAGCCAGUAUAAGCUUUUCUACAUUUUUAACAAAAGUGCCUUCAUAUACUAUCCAGGUUCUGUUAAACAAAAUAUCCUUGGGACAACCUGAAAGUAAUUCAUAUUUUAACCCUGUAUUGUUAAAUUUGAUUUGAUUUGAUUGAAUCUAUAUUUAUCCUCAUGUGUGUAAUGUAGCUCCUGGAGCAUUCACAAACUUUAUAAUCUCAAUCUAUCAGGGCAAAUCUGCAAGUAAAAAACCUCACUUUUACCAGCAGGUAUUCAAUGAAUGCCAGGUGGCAUAUAAAGCACUUAGUGAAUUGUUUUAAUUGCAUUUCUCUUGUAUCUCUCAGAACUUGAGAAAGUUUCAGAAAGCAGAAGAGGAUCAGGAUAGAUUUACUUGCUGCUUUCACCUUGUUCCGACACUGCUUGUUUGCAGAAAAGACUUGCUUACAUAAUUUCACUGCCUUUCUGCCUUUUCAUGUGGGGACAAUACUUAAACUGGUACAACACAAGCUAUAUUACAGUAGAGAUGGACAUCACAACUAAUAUGAAACCAAAGAGCAACAUUUGCUGUACUUACUCAAGAAUAUAAAAGAGCUUUUAACCUAAAUCUGUUGACAUGAAGUGAAAAAUGAAAUGGUUUUCUCUUGGAAAUUAAAUAGAACUGAAAGUGGGUUUUGCUGUUGUUACAAUUUCUGCCAUUGGUUCAUUUCGUAGAAUUACUUCUAUAAUUUCAAGUGUAGCCCACCAAAGUUAAUACAGUGCUACAAAAACAUCAUAAGUUCAAAAGCUCAGACUACCAGUCUUCAUUUCAUAAACUUAUUUUUUUACUUACACCAUUGUUCUUUCUGUUUUCUCUUCAUGCAACACAACAAAGAGAAUAGAGAAUAUAAUGCAUACUCUCUAUUAUCUAAUGAGGAUUUGAGGUCGGGCUGGAGACUCUUUAACAUAGCUCAGUCAGUGAAGCUUUUGAAGGUCCAUAAUAUAAUCUUUGCCUAUGGACAGUUAAUUUCACAAUAAUCAUGUUUAAUUUCUUUAUUUUCAAGACUUAUGAUUGGGAUUUCUGAAACUGUUAGAUUGUGAAAUAUUUACUGUAUUUAUGGAAUACGUAAAGGAAUCUUUUGGAGUAUGGAUAUGGCAAGAAGUCUUAUCCUAUAAUAACUCAUACUGCUGAAGUAAUUCCAUAAAAUCAUGAUGAGUUAAUGUAAUUUGGAGAUACGAGCAGACUGAUGAUAAAGGAAUGGUAACUGUGCUCCAUUCUUGUUUGAUCUUUGUAAUGUAGACCCUAAUAAAACUAUGUGAAAACUUAGGCAGUAAGAUUAAUUGUGGUAAAAGAUAAUUAAAGGAAAACAGGGAUAAAGGAAUCAAUUAAAACAAGGUGAAAUGACAACUUGACCUCUCUAUAUAGUCAGUAUAUCUGACAGCUGUAUCCUUUUUCAAUUGUCCAGUAUUUCACAGCAUGAACUUCUGCAACAUAUAGUUGACUUCAGAUGGAAUUUGAGAGACAUUAAAAGAGUAAUUAAGUGCUCUUUGUGAAAUGCAUUGUCCUGUAGUAUAUGAAGAAAAAAAAGAAAUGAAUUGAGAGUGUUCUUUUUCUAAAAUCAAGACCUAAUCAGUGUUUCUGGACUGAGUCAGCUCUUCAGGAUAGUUCUCUCUGACUGGAGAUUUUUUGUGAAGAACAUUGUCAGUCCCACUCUUCCAUAUUUUUUCUUUCUUUUCACUUUCCUCAGCCCAGCUUUGCAGGUGUCUCAAACUAUAGUGAAUAAGCAGCCACACUAAGAUUUUUAUCAGAGUAUUUGAGUUUUUAUGAACUAAUAUUAAAACUUUAUGCAAUUGUUUGAGAUCUGUUUCAUUUUAUAUCUUUUAGACUUUAAAUAAAAGUGCUUAGAAAACAAAGCUUUGCAACAGCUUAACUUAUCCAUUCAGUGCUCAUUUUCUUCAUACAUUUAUGUUAACUGUCAGGUGCCUAUAGUUCAAGAGAUCUGAAGUUCCAUGGCCCAUUAAAAAGUCUCAAGAAAGAAUUUCUUUGAGAAGCCUGUAUAAGUCCUCUUGCACUUCUAAAAGAGAUGUAUGUUGUGUGAAGGGACAAGGAUUAAUCUUUUAUUUUCCUUUUUAAAUUAGAAGUAUAACUUACUGACAGUAGUCACAUACUCCUCCUGUUGUCCAAAUGUUAACCCAACAUUCAGAAGGCAUGGGUUCAAUACCCUGUUGUGGUACAGACACACUGACAAUCAAUCUGGUGUUCCAUUUCUACAUCUCCACAAAAAAAACCCACCCCACAUCUACUCACCUAUACUCCAGGGAUUUUAUUCAGGUAAAUAUACAUGAAUAUUAAUAUCCUUGAGAGCAUUAUAUUUAAGAUAUACAUAAAUAAUAAUUUCUAAAGGUGUACAUACAAUUCAACACCUUGAACCAGCAACUGCAGUCUAUAUUGAAAUCUGAAUUUAUAGCAUUGACUAUAUCGGGAAUUUUGCUUGAUUAAGAGUAAAAAGAUGUGUUAGUACUCUGAAAGUUAACAAAGCAUCUGUAUUCCAACUUUAAGGUAAAGUAGGAAACUUAGUUCCAAGGCCAGUAGCAAUCAAAUAUAUUAUUUAAAGAGGAAACAAAAUACAGCCUUCCAGGCAUUCAUUUGUUUAAAAGAGUUCUUUGUAUUUACAGAUCUAGUGAAAACAAAAUCCCUCUAAUACAUUCACUUAAUGCUUUAAAGUGUACGACAUUCCUUCUCACUGAAGGGAGGCACCAGAGUGAUUAUUCAAAGGCAAACUGAAACAAGAAAUAAUAGAACAUAAUGAGGAAAAUUCCAGCCAUUGAGACUCUAGAGGAGAGACAAUCAUCUUUAAAGGAUAAUUAAGAACUUUAGGGGGGUUAAAUCAACUUCAGGGGACACCCUGGGGCAUUCAGUUUCUGAAUUUUUUUGUUUUAUUUCAGUAUCAAAAUGUAGGUAAAAAUCUGUCAGUUGUCCCCAUGCCCAUGUUUUAUAUCAUUACUUCUUCAAAAAUUUAACUAGAGUGAAAUAAUUCAAUUAGCCAGGAUUUUAUUUCAUCCAAAAAACCUCAUGUUUUCUUCCUCCAUGUUUGUCACUGAUAGUUUCAUUGUUGAGUUGCUGUGAAUUUUUUUCAGUCUGAUAAGCUCAAGGUAAUCAAGAGCAAGACAAUCACAUGCAUUUCCUGGCAUUUUAAAAUGCUUUGAAAUUAAUUCUGAAUUUUGUAUUUUUAUUAUUCUAAUGAUUAAGCAAAAAGAAAGAAAGAAAGAAAGAAAGAAAGAAAGAAAGAAAGAAAGAAAGAAAGAAAGAAAGAAAGAAAGAAAGAAAGAAAGAAAGAAAGAAAGAAAGAAAGAAAGAAAGAAAGAAGGGAGGAAGGGAGGAAGGAAAACAUCAAAUUAAAAAAAAAAAACACAACAAACAAAUAAACAAAAAACACCUAUCUUCCACAUUCCCUCUUUCAGUGUCUUAUUAGCAAGACUACAGUCCUCCAGAGUCAAUUUUCCUAAUAGAGACCUCCCGUACUAUGUUGGACAAAUGUCAUGUCCCCUGGCUCUCUCCAUCUUGUAAUGAAAAUUAGACCUAUUGCCAAGUACACCUUGCUGAUUGCUUCCUACCUGCUGCUAAGGAUAAUUCGUGCAGUGUAAAUGAAGACUUCAGCAGUUGGUGAAAGUAAAAAAGGUACAAGAAAGGACUGAUGUUCAACAUUUACAAAACACAGCUAAUAAAGACACAGGUCUGCUUGGCUGAAAAUGUGUAAAGUAUAUGAAAGAUCUUUAUGUUUUCAUAAUCUUAAUUAUACCAGACAUCAUAAAUUAGUGUUUCAACUGAAAAAAUGAAUUACAUUUGCUAUCAGCUUUUCAUUUGCUCAAUCCCAUACCAGGAAUCUGGUUGUAUUUGUUCCCUUAUUUAUUCUGAAAAAUAUGUUACUGAAUGUGCUGUAUGUGAUUGCCUUUGAUUGUAAGUAAUUAAAGAAUUUGCAGUUGUUACUCUUUAGAAUGUUGCAUCUACCCAGAAUGUUAUUGUUCAUUUUUGUUAAUUGUUACCAAAUAUGCUUUCAGAUAACUUCUUACAUCUGAAAGGAGACCAUGGCAUUUCAGUGGGAAGGUAGUGUGAGGUGGUGAGUUGGAAUGGGAGACUGAAAUACAAGCAGUUCCAGUCAGCAAAGCUCUCUUUUCUACAUGGAUUCAAAUCCAUCUAGCUUGUUCUAUUCCUGUCAGGUAACAGGUCAUGCUGCCUCUUGUGUUUGUUCUGUGCUAUGAGAACAUUUGACGCUUUUGUGGGAGCAAAAGCAUUUACUUUUCCUAGUUCACUUUUUUUAGAGAAAGCAUAUUAUUAAUUGGAACGUAUUAACUGGAAGCAUAUUAUUUCUAGCUAUUGAGGGACAACUGCUGUAUUUUACAUCCAGUUUCUUCAGACAGACCUGAAUUUAAUUAGGAGUUACAAGGAAUAAAGGUAAAAACAGUCACAUUUACCACUAAGAAAUCGCACUGUGCUUGUUAUGAAGAACCAGCUUACUAAUGCUAGAUGCAACAUUCUGUAUAUUUUCGGGACUAGCAAUUCUCAUUUGUUUGGAUAAAUAUUUAACAUUUCACAUGCAGGUUCCAAAUACAGUUUUCACCUUUGUCUUCUGUAAGAAGGGCAGCAAAAGAACUGCAUCAAUAAUCACUUUAUCUUACAUAAAAUGCCACCCAUUCUCUUUCUUACUCUAAUGAGCUGUCUAAUGUCCUGUCCACACAUACGUACUUACAGACACUCUUUUUUUUUUUUUUUUUUGUCUCUUCUGAGUAGUGUUUGAGGCAUCUUCUAAUAGUAGUUUAAAAUACCUUCUGUAGUUUGACAGCUAGUCUUCCAUAUCGAUCUUCACUGCAUAUCCUUCUAAAUUUCUUGUCUCUUUUCAUGCUUAUUACCAGCCUCCUCAACAAAUUGUUUAGACAUUGUGAUAUUCUAGAGCUUCAUAGUUAUAUUGCUCUUUAACAUGCCUAGACAUUCUCUCUUUCUCAAUUGUUUUAGUUCUUUUCACCUCUAAAGAUAUACUAAUCUAAUUCACAGUGCUUUAUCUGAGAUUUACAAAAAAACAAAACCCUUUACAUAUGCUACAUAUCCAACUGGAAACCUUUUGUUCACCUGAGUUCUUGACCAGACGCAGCAGCACACCAAAAUGAAUAAUAUAUCUGCACAUUGGACUGAGGUGCCUAAAGCCUUAAAAUGCACAGCUGCAGUUUGCAGCAAGAAAAUUGUAAAAAAAAUGAUUUGUGUUAUAGCCAUUGAAGAUUAUAGUGAGCUCCUGAAAGACCUGAAGGGUUUUGAAAGCCCCCUGCCUUACUCAGGAAUUGAUAGACUUCCUCUCUUUUCAGGAUUCAGCCCACUCAGCCAAUGAGACUGAAAGACACUAAGAAUCUCAGCUUCGUCUUUUAGCCACGCUACAGUGAACCAAGCUGAGUUUGAGGGUUUUUCCAGUUAACUCUUGACUUUUCUACACUUCAGAAUUCAUCAGAAGUUACUGAAGGAUUUUGUCUUAUCAAAAUAAGUGAAAAUGUUAGUUUUGUUGUUCAGUAUUUGCUGAGUUCUGGAAAGAGAACAAAGAAAAUAUUCCCUUGUUUCAUUUCUCUUUCAAUGAGCAGUCCAGAAAGGACUUGGAAUUGGACUCAGUAAUCCUGGUAGGUCCCUUCCAGCUUGGGAUAUUCCAUAAUUCUAUGACUUCAGUAUCAAAUCAGAGAUGUUGGUAGCACUGUUCCCGCUUUGAAUGGCAGAGGUGGUUUAUUACUGUUUUUGUCAGUCUUUUGAAGUUCCUAUGUUGCAGAAGGCUCAAGGUAUCAUUUCACUGCAUUGGAUGUCAUUUCUCUUCAGUUCUAAUGACAGUUCUGGACCUCAGAAGUGAGGGGUCAUGCUCCUGUCCAGUGUUAUCUUUUCCAAUAACCAGUUCAU